UACGUAGGGUGCAAGCGUUGUCCGGAAUUAUUGGGCGUAAAGAGCUCGUAGGCGGUUUGUCGCGUCCGCUGUGAAAACUCAGGGCUUAACCCUGAGCCUGCAGUGGGUACGGGCAGACUAGAGUGUGGUAGGGGAGAUCGGAAUUCCUGGUGUAGCGGUGGAAUGCGCAGAUAUCAGGAGGAACACCGGUGGCGAAGGCGGAUCUCUGGGCCAUAACUGACGCUGAGACACGAAAGCGUGGGUAGCAAACAGG
rnacentral:rRNA from 1 species